CGUAGGGUGCAAGCAUUAUCCGGAGUGACUGGGCGUAAAGAGUUGCGUAGGUGGUUUUAUAAGCGAAUAGUGAAAUCUUAAGGCUCAACCUUAUAGACUAUUGUUCGAACUGUAAAACUCGAGAAUGGUAGAGGUAACUGGAAUUUCUAGUGUAGGAGUGAAAUCCGUAGAUAUUAGAAGGAACACCAAUGGCGUAGGCAGGUUACUGGACCAUUUCUGACACUAAGGCACGAAAGCGUGGGGAGCGAACCGGAUUAGAUACCCGGGUAGUCCACGCCGUAAACGAUGGAUACUAGCUGUUGGAGGUAUCGACCCCUUCAGUAGCGAAGCUAACGCGUUAAGUAUCCCGCCUGUGGAGUACGGUCGCAAGACUA
rnacentral:rRNA from 1 species